AUUGAACGCUGGCGGCAUGCUUUACACAUGCAAGUCGAGCGGAAACAGGCCGCUUGGUCCUGGCUUGAGGGGAGCGGGUGUGUAAUAUACCGAAGAGUGUGCCGAGGUGGGGGGUAUAACAUCGAAAGACGUGCGCUAAUACCACAUGCGCUGUGGAUGAGAGCGGGGGGGAUGGUCGGAACUUUCGCCCUCGCGCCAUUCUAGGUCGGAUUAGCUAGUUGGUGGGGUAAAGGCCUACCAAGGCGACGAUCCGUAGCUGGUCUGAGAGGAUGAUCAGUCACACUGGAACUGAGACACGGUCCAGACUCCUACGGGAGGCAGCAGUGGGGAAUUUUGGACAAUGGGCGCAAGCCUGAUCCAGCAAUGCCGCGUGUGUGAAGAAGGUCUUCGGGUUGUAAAGCGCUUUUAGUCGGAACGAAAAGGAGUUAGCUAAUACCUUGCGGUGUUGACGGUACCGAAAGAAUAAGCACCGGCUAACUACGUG
rnacentral:rRNA from 1 species